rnacentral:rRNA from 1 species
AUGGCGGUUUGUGAUUUCGACAUGAGGUUUACUUUUGUUGUGGCUGGUUGGCCCGGUUCAGCACAUGACACACGGAUCUUAAAUGAUAGCUUGGUCAAGUAUGCAGAUAAGUCCCCUACACCUCCAACAGGAAAAUAUUACUUCGUCGAUUCGGGAUAUCCAAACCGUGAAGGAUAUCUUGCUCCUUACAAAGGUCAAAUAUAUCAUAUACUGGGAUUUCAUAAUGGGCGAAAACCGGUGGGAAAAUACGAGGUGUAUAAUCAUGCUCACUCUUCACUUCGAAAUGUUGUUGAACGAACAUUUGGAGUGCUCAAAGCUAAAUGGCGCAUCUUGGGUAUGCCUAAUUUCAGCCCUCGUAGACCAAAAAAGAUUAUUAUUGCCUGUAUGUCAUUGCACAACUACAUUCGUGAGACCAAGUUGCCUGAUGAGGAGUUUGACAAAUAUGAUGAAGAUGAAGAUUAUGUUCCUGAUGAGGACUUGCGAGUACGGUCACUCCAAGGAGAUAGUGUUCCUGCGAGACUUGACAUCGUCGACAUGAACAGAGUUCGUGACAGGAUUGCUAACUCCUUGAUGAGCUCGAGUGGAUAG